CCAUUUUGGGGCCUUCCCCGGCCGCCGCCUCCAUCCGGCUCUAUCCGCCUCCAUCCGCCGCCCCGCCCGCCCGGACUGAGCGCGGAGCCGCCGCCGCCCCGCCAUGAGGGCCAAGUGGCGCAAGAAGCGAAUGCGCAGGUACGUGGGAACCCCUGGGGGGACCCCCGGGGCCGGGGGGCUCGGGGGGGCCCCAGAGCGGAGUCUGGGGGGUCCCGGGGGUGACGCCGCCACCCUGUCCCUUCUGUCCCCAGGCUGAAGCGCAAGAGGAGGAAGAUGAGGCAGAGGUCCAAAUGAUCUCCCCCGCCGGGGCCGCGGCCUGGGGCCAUCCCGGUGUCACCCCGGUGACACCCUGAGGACACACCGAUGACCCCCGGGCCGCGGGGGUCCCGCUGGGCCGGGCCCCGUCUGUCUGCUCUGUAACGGCCGCUGUGCUGUGAAUAAAAGCUGGUUAUUAGAA